rnacentral:misc_RNA from 1 species
AAGUCGUAACAAGGUUUCCGUAGGUGAACCUGCGGAAGGAUCAUUAUCGAGUUUUGAACGCGGGUUGUCGCUGGUCCCCUCCUUACACGAGAAGGGGGCAUGUGCACGCCUGGGUCAAUCCACUCUUCCAACCCCUGUGCACUUGUUGUAGGUUCAGGUCGAACGGUCGACUCUUGGUCGUCGACUCGAAAGCUUGGCCUAUGUUUUCUUACGAACGCUUCAGUCAUAGAAUGUAAAACAUUGUGGAUAACGCAUUUUAAAUACAACUUUCAGCAACGGAUCUCUUGGCUCUC